CGAACCUAGCGGGACCUGGGGGUGUCUCGGGAGUCAGGAGUCUUGCCCGUGACCUUUCUCCCUCUACCCUAUAGCAGCAGCAUUUGUAGUCGGUGUUUACCUUGGCUCAGCCGUCCUCCCGAUCCACACAGCGAGACCGGGACCGUAUACCGCUGGGAGGGAGGCUUCUUUGGCCCCAUAAAAAGAAGUAAGAAGGAACUUGAGUCACCCAAGUUCAAGGCUUCCACGCCCAGCACCUAGAGUGCUGGAGCUGGAAGAAGCCUAAGUCCCAGCUAGUCCAGGCCUUUAGCCAGCGGGCACCCUUGAGGAGUCCCAGCAGCUCCUGGACAUGUGGACAGCGACUGAUGGAAGACAUGCCUCCCGGCUACGAGACCCCCACAGCCCACGAGCCCACGGAUUUCCCCUCUCAGCCAGCUCCAGCCUCUGCUACCCCCUCUGCUCCUCACUUCUCUAAAACGAAACAUGUCACAGUCAU